CACAUUGAGCCUGUCCUGUGGAAGAGGCCCCUCCAUCAGGCACCAUAAUACACAUUGAGUCUGUCCUGUGGAAGCAGCCCCUCCACCAGGUACCAUAAUACACGUUGAGCCUGUCCUGUGGAAGAGGCCCCUCCAUCAGGCACCAUAAUACACGUUGAGUCUGUCCUGUGGAAGCAGCCCCUCCACCAGGUACCAUAAUACACAUUGAGCCUGUCCUGUGGAAGAGGCCCCUC